rnacentral:rRNA from 1 species
UGGGGAAUAUUGGACAAUGGGCGCAAGCCUGAUCCAGCCAUGCCGCGUGAGUGAUGAAGGCCCUAGGGUUGUAAAGCUCUUUCAACGGUGAAGAUAAUGACGGUAACCGUAGAAGAAGCUCCGGCUAACUUCGUGCCAGCAGCCGCGGUAAUACGAAGGGAGCUAGCGUUGUUCGGAAUUACUGGGCGUAAAGCGCACGUAGGCGGACUAUUAAGUCAGGGGUGAAAUCCCGGGGCUCAACCCCGGAACUGCCUUUGAUACUGGUAGUCUAGAGUUCGAGAGAGGUGAGUGGAAUUCCGAGUGUAGAGGUGAAAUUCGUAGAUAUUCGGAGGAACACCAGUGGCGAAGGCGGCUCACUGGCUCGAUACUGACGCUGAGGUGCGAAAGCGUGGGGAGCAAACAGGAUUAGAUACCCCCGUAGUCC